CGGCACUGGUAAAGACCACCUUGAAUUCCACUGGAUUCCAUUCCAAUUUCAGAGAGCCACACCAUUCAUGACAUGAAUCUCUCCAAUUAAAAUGCUGCAAGCUGGUAAGACUUUGUGAGGUGGUGCUUAGAUAUUCUACAAGUAUAGUGCCAGUUGGAUCCUCUUUGUUGUCCCACAGAGGCAUUGAUGCGUCAUUGAUUAUUAUACCCAUCUCUGAAGGCUGUAGUCAAUAGAAAUGGAACUAGAAUGACAUUUUGUUGGUGACAGUGUAGAGGAUAUUGAGCUCAGGACUGGGGGAGACCGAGCAAUAAAUCCAUUUUUGUUCUCUUUUUUCAGGAAACGCUGACUCUGUAUCCAUUCCAAGUCCACAGCAUCGCGCUCUCCACCUUUGCUUCUCUGAUAGGCCCAUUUGGUGGCUUCUUUGCCAGUGGGUUUAAGAGAGCUUUCAAAAUAAAAGAUUUCGCAGACACCAUUCCUGGACAUGGAGGCAUCAUGGAUCGCUUUGACUGCCAGUACCUAAUGGCCACCUUUGUUCAUGUUUACUUGACCAGCUUUAUCAGGGGUCCCAACCCCAGCAAAGUGCUGCAGCAGUUACUGGCCCUGCACCCAGAGCAACAGCUGAGCAUUUUCUACUCACUGGGUGCCCAUCUAAGGGAGAAGGGCAUCCUACUAGCCACUGGAGGUGAGGACUAACAAUCGCUUUGAUAUGGCACUCCCCACACUGGUCUGGACCAGGUCCUGUCCACCCUCAGUGUGAAUCUUCACCCCAUGAGACACUGUAGCAACAUCUGGACAGUGCCUUGGGACAAUGCAAACAAGUGCGCCAAUGCUGAUGCAAGAACAAGUAUUCUAGUGCAUUAAUUGCUGUGGCAAGAAUACAGCAUCUUCUGCAACAUCGGGCUUUGAGCACUUGAUCGUAGACCACAGGUAGGCUACAGUAUCCAGCAGAUCUACAUAUCUGUGUGAAUACUAUGCUGAGAUGGUUUGCCUCAUGAUGAAAAAUUGUAACAAGCACUGGCAAUCUCCAGCUCUUAUAGCUAAUUUAAUAUUAUUCAUAUAUGGUGUAUAGGAAGCAUUCUAUAUUCUUCAAAUAGAUGUCUGAAGCAGUGAGUAAAUAUGUAAACUUAAGUGAUUAUUGCUGAGGUAGUUUUAACUGCAGAAUCAGGUCAUCAGUGGCAUCCUUGUAAUGUCUCAGCCUUCUUCCAAAUUGUGUGAAUAGUUAAUUGAUAUUGAAUGUAGCAGACAUGGCAAACUAGUUUGCACACAAUUCUGAAACUGCAUCACACAAUGAUGUGUACAUAUACUGAUUUACAUAUAUUGAUUUAUAGUAUUUAAAUAAUGUUAUUAAAAUAAUACAGUAAUGUAAGCAAUAGCUGGGAUCUGUAGUAUUUUAUUUUGCAAUAUUUAACAUUCCUACUGAAUGUUAUGAAUUUAAAAAGCCUAUAGUUUCCAAAUAGAUUUUUUGUAACUGGUUGUGCAUUAUGGCUUCAAGGUAAUGUACAGAUGUAUAUUAGCCAGUAGAGUUGGAUGCAUUACUCAAUGCAUAAUUCAAGUUAUUUUUUUAAAGAGAUUUAACGCAAAUGUAUUGUUUUGUAUGAGACUGAAGGGAAGCAGUGUGUGAAAAUAUUAGAACCCAUUAAUAUCGUCAGGUUUGGGAGACAUCUUUGUUUUUGUUCUGUACAGAGACUUAAAAGCAAUGAGGUAUUCUAUGCACGUACUGACUUUAGAGUAAACAAAUCUCAGAUGAUGAUGCAGCACACAGCUGCAGAGAUCCUGUACACCUGUGAGUGUAUCCCAUCAUGCUUUGUACAUUUACAAAUCUAUGCCCAUUAUAAACUGCUUUUGAAAACAAGCAGACAGAUGGAGAAUAGAUGUGAGUUCUGGUUUGUAUCACUAAUGCUUGGGAGGCAUCAGUCUAUUUUGCCUUUUUUACAGUUUCAGUUGUGCAAGGACUUUAUUUGAUCAAUUAAACUCAAUUACUCUUUUAAAAUUUAAAUUUUAAUUACCAUUUUCUAUACAAGGACCUUGUCUAGAAACAAAUGCGUGUCAUAAAAUCUGUUGCAGCGAAAUAUUUUGUAUGAAACAUUACUGUAUUAGCAUUAUUACUAUUUUAUUGACAUGGGGUAAUGGUUAUGUGAUUUGUUGACAUAUUUUUCUUUACAAAUAAAAUUUAUUUUAAUACUGUUGAGUUCAUGUA